rnacentral:misc_RNA from 1 species
CUUCACUCGCCGACUGACAUCAGUACAUCAAACAUUUUAAAGUUAGCAUCGUUCUUCGUUUGAAGAAGACGAACGAUGAGUGACGAUCAUUUGCGACAGAUUGAAAAUCGUGGUCGAACUGCCACGGCCAUCUUUGGUUUGGUUCAUGAGACUUCACAAUUUGAGCGAGAAAGAAUCAACGAAUUCAUCAUUAAUCAGCACGGUGGUGAGAUCGAUUCUUUGAAGGAAAAAAUCGAAGAGAAGAAUGAAGAGAUAUUGCAUCUUCACAAAGCAAUUAAAGACCUCGAAGAUAAAAACAAGAAAUUGGACAUCGCUUUGAAAACUCGAAACGAAGAAGUUGCGAAACUCAAGACAAGGAUUGCCAAGCUGGAAGCUGAGAAAAAAGGCCUGGAAGACAAGUUGAGGAACGUCGAAGGAAAGCUCGACCGCAUGGAAAAGGAAGUCGAGGACUUGGAUAAGGCGAAGCAGGUCCAAGAGGAAGAAAAUGUAAAUCUUAAAGAGAGUUUGGCGAUUGUGUCUGGGGAAGUGGAAAGUGUGAAGCAAGAGCUGGUGUCGACCAGAAAUGAAAACCAAAGUUUGAAGAAAGAGGUAAGAGACCUUAGUCAAAAGCUAUUGCCAACCGGUCUCGGAUUACCGAUGCUGACUCCUCCGCCACCAAUCGCUCCUGAUCUACAAGCUUCUCUACGUCUGGGUGAGUUGAGCCGUCAGCUGCAAGCUAAGAUGUACAAGUACGUCUUUCCACAGAUGUACACCCCCAUUGGUGGAUACAAGGUGAAGACCAUUCGUCGUGACCUGAAUAAGUUUUCGACUGAAGAAGAGCAAGUAAAAGCAAACCAGCGGUGGAAUGAGUUACAAAAGAAACUGAAUUGGAACGAAACGUACGAGGAAGCGAUAAAACUACUGCAGGAAAACAGGAAUGCUGAUGCGCAUCCCAAAAUAACGGGUAAAUUACUUCAUGAAGCGGUGGAAGUCAUGGAUUCGAAAGGUAACCUGAGAGGUCGGCUCACACGGGAAUGCCUUGAUGUCUUAAUAAGUAUGUGGGAGAAAAUUUAGCCCCUGGAGCAGCUUCAUCCCUUACCGUUUCAGGUUUUUUUUUUCUAAUAAGUCAAACCUCUGGUGUUAAAUACGGGUACUAUAAAUUCUACUGAGCUCGAGACACCCGUUGAAGUUAAGCAGGGAUUAUUUUGUUCUCGUUUUCUCUAUGACUAUAAGAAUAUUGGCCGUUGUUGAAGCAAACUGUGGUGAUUCACUUUCUUCAGGAACCAGAAAGAAAAAAUCACACCUAGUUGUCUAUUUUGGGGUAGAAAUUUCCUGAAUUGCAUAAGUGAAUUUCUUUAUCGUCCAGACACUGCCGGAUUUAAUGGCUCUCAUCUCUCAGAGGAUGCUGGACUUGGCGCUGCCACGAAAUUAACCGUCAGAACUCUAUCCGAACAUUUCAACAACCUUGGCGCAUUUUCAGUUAACAAGAAUGAGAAUUAACCUCGGCAUUUAAGUAUUUCUAGAAUUUCCCACAUUUCUUUAAGUAAAUUAGCACCGUUAGCUAACGAUGCUAGCGAAUUCAGUGUACACUAUGCGACCCUAUUCGAUAGGUGAGUUAAAUUUAUAAAGGCGAAUUCGAAGAGGAAAUCUUUUAAAACAAAACGCAUAUUUGCCAACUAAGAAAAUUAUGCUUAUUUGCUUUCGAUACUACAUGUAGCAGGCGAGUAAAAUGCGAGUAGGUAAUGUUUUCAACCCGCUUACGUUAUCUUAGAAAUUCCCUUUGACAUCAUAAUCCCUAAUUAUUUGAGGAAAAUGACUUUGAUAACUCGCAAAUUUGUGUUUCUUAACUUAGCUUGCUUCGUUUUCUUAACGAAUCUCAACUAGAUGAAUUGAAUUGAAUUGAUUUGAAUUGAAGAUGAUUACAAGAUCACUUCGUCAAAUUAAGUGAGUUUUGCAUCAUACAAACGACUGAUUCACGAACAGUUGUUUCUGUUUGAUUGCCUUUUGUUUCGGAGUCAAAUGAGUUUAAAUCCUCCCUCAUAAUCGUAAUCUCCCGUUAACAAAGUAAAAGGAAUUUUGAGACUUAAAGCUUUUCUCUGCGACCCGUUAUGGGAGCGUUUUAGGGCUUUUUAGGGCUUUGAAACUUAUGUAUUUCACCACAGACCAUGCAAGAAAACAAGUAGACGUUUUCCUAGAAAUUCCCACUCGACGAUAGGCUAAUUUGGUGGGCAAGGUUUCCUAGAAAUUACCUUCACCGACAAGUGCAUUUAUAAUUCAUAUAAAUCCUACAGGUUGUCUAAGAUGCGUUGUUCCCCUGCACUCCAUUAACCUUUUCUACUAAUGACCAGUGAUUUUAGGUUGGUAGGACCGACGACAAGCGUUCGCAUGAAAAUAUCCAUCAAAUUUUGUACAUAGAGGGAAAAAAGAGUAAAUCCUGUAGCUGCUGUAACAAUCGCACUUGAAGGGUUACGACUCAGCUGAGUUUGAAAACAAAGUCUCGCCUCUCUCUUGUUACGUGUAAACUUUCCCCCUUUUUAUACGAAUGGAAUAGGAAUGUUAUGACAGCAAAUCGUCCGAACGAGCUCAUUUCGUGUCCUAUCACUUAAAACAUUUCAUUUUCACAAACAAAGUAUUGCUAAUACUCAUAGGGAUGAUCAACCGCUCUGAAUUGCGAUAUGGCAUCACAGUUUUUUUCCCCUCUGUUAUUUAUUUUCAAUUCAUGCCGAAAAGGCCAAUUAUCUACAUUAUCUUCGAAGUGUGUGAAGGAAGAAUUUCAAGGUGACACAUGAUAUUUCUUAGAAAUAAUGAACAGGAAGUCACUAGCCCAAUUCUCGGAAACUUCUCUUACUCGCCCACGCUUGCAUCACGAGGUGACCUUGGCUAUGAUUGGCUCACACCCCAGCACGCCAUGGAAACACCAUGCUUCGUUUAGAAAAAAAAAAAUAAACAUGUAAGGAAGGCACUGAUUAACUGCGGAUGACUACGGGAAAAGGAAGAAAAAUCACAAAAGAAAAUUAAGGAAAAAAACCUAAAAAAAAAUUAAGAAGUCUCGAACUCUCAACAGAAGAGACGUCUGACCCUAACGGCCUGGUACUGAGUCUCUGCUCAAUAUAAUGCCUCAAAUCAUGUCGAAAACCAGCCAAGAUGUAAUGCUGUACUAACGCCGAAAAAUUAUAGCAUAAAUUACAAGCGAACACAUGUUGGUUUGUGUUUCCCAAAAAGUGUCAAAAAUGUGAGUUCUGAGGUUGAUGCCAUAAAAUCCAAUUUGAAGAAGUUUCCAAAUUUCGGCACCAGGCUGGAACACCAUUCAGACGAAUUUCUUUGAACUUCGUAAUGUUUAUUGCGAUUUAACUGUGUGUAAAUCGUUAAUUUAAAAUGUAAGCCCAGUUGUGAGAUAAAGAGAGAUAUUCGUUUGCAGAAACAAAGACAGAAACCUCCAGAUCCAUGGGUGAUGCACCAGUUUUACGUAAAGUUUUCUGAUUUCGCUGUUUGAAUUUUCAAUAAAUUUCUGCCGAAUCAGCACUAUCAUCGCGAUGAGGGACCUAAGCUAUAGAGUCAUUUAAUGACACAAAUUUUUAGGAAGCUCUUUCAACACUAACAGGCAAUUCAGCGACACGAAACCUUCCUUUGACUGGAGAGUCAUGUUAAUUGCAACGUUACAAAAGUCAAAUAAAAUCCUGACGCAGA